rnacentral:lncRNA from 1 species
UACGACUAUAGAGUAGCUAUAAUUCCGUUUCUAUUGUUGUGAUAAAUUAGAGUUUCAAUAUUACGAACAAUAUAUAUAGUAGGCUUAAAUAUGAUAAUCAUCCCUGUAAUUUGGGUCAGUUUUGAUUUUCGUCCCUGUAAAAAAAAAACUUUGAAAUACAUCCUUGUAAAAAAAAAUUGUUUGAAAAAGAUCCCUGACCCCACUUCAUGUCUGACUUGGCAUGUUAUUCGCCAUGUGGCAGUUGCUGAUUGUACAACUUUUGACACGUGGCAGUCCACGUAAUUAAAAAAAUUAAAAAUAAAUUCUGAUUUUUUUUUUAAUUUAAAAAAUCUGAAAAUAAAUUUAAAAAUCAUAAAAUAUUUCCGAAAACAAUCUGAAAAUACUUUUCGGAAAAAAAACUUUGAAAAUUAAAAUUUUCGAAAACUUAAUUUUUUGACAUAAAAACUAUUAAAAUUAAAAAAUUUGAAAAAAAAUGUGAAAAUUAAAUUUUCGAAAAAUAGAUAUUUUUAAUUUGAAAAUUAUAUAUUAAUUUUUUUUUCGAAUAGAAUGACAAUUAUAUUUUCAAAAGUUAUAAAUUUAAAAUUUUUGAAAAAAAAUUCUAAUUUCUUGUUCAUUUACGAAAAAUUUUAAUUUUAAUUUUUUUUUUUGCAGAAAUUUCUGAAUAUAUAUUAUUUUGCAAAAAAAAUAAUUUUAUUUUGAAAAUUAUACAAAAAAAUAAAUCAGAAAAUUAUUUUAAUUGUUUUUAAAUUUUAAAAACAAUUUUCAGAAUUUUAAUUUUUUUUUAAAAAUUUAAUAUUAUGUGGCACGCCACGUGGCAAAAGUUGCAAAGUCAGCAACUGCCACGUGGCCAAAACCAUUCCAAAUCAGCUGAAUAGUAGUGGGGCCAGGGACCUUUUUCAAACAAAAAAAAAAUUACAGGGAUGUAUUUCAUUUUUUUUUUUACAAGGACGAAAAUCAAAACUAGACUAAAUUACAGGGACGAUUAUCAUAUUUAAUCCUAUAUAGCACUAGUAAGAUUUUGUGUCUUGCAUAUAUGAGCCAUACUUUAACAAAUACUUUGGGUUUGAAAAAAGAAAAUGCCUUUCACUUUCAAAAUUUUAGCUAAACAUUAUAUUAUUUCUUUUGCAGAUG